rnacentral:misc_RNA from 1 species
GAUGAAGAACGUAGCGAAAUGCGAUAAGUAAUGUGAAUUGCAGAAUUCAGUGAAUCAUCGAAUCUUUGAACGCACAUUUCGCCCGCCAGCACUCUGGCGGGCAUGCCUGUUCGAGCGUCAUUUCAACCAUCAAGCCCCCAGGGGCUUGUGCUGGGGCCCUGCGGCUGCCCGCAGGCCCUGAAAACCAGUGGCGGGCUCGCUAGUCACACCGAGCGCAGUAGCACAUCUCGCUCAGGGCGUGCGGCGGGCUCCUGCCGUGAAACCCCCCACUGUAACCCCAAAGGUUGACCUCGGAUCAGGUAGGAAUACCCGCUGAACUUAAGCAUAUCAAUAAGCGGAGGA